UACAGAGGUCUCAAGCGUUGUUCGGAAUCAUUGGGCGUAAAGCGCACGUAGGCGGCCUGAUAAGUCGGGUGUGAAAGCCCUGGGCUCAACCCAGGAAGUGCACUCGAAACUGUCAGGCUUGAAUAUGGAAGAGGGUCGCGGAAUUCCCGGUGUAGAGGUGAAAUUCGUAGAUAUCGGGAGGAACACCAGUGGCGAAGGCGGCGACCUGGGCCAAUAUUGACGCUGAGGUGCGAAAGCGUGGGGAGCAAACAGG
rnacentral:rRNA from 1 species